rnacentral:rRNA from 2 species
CCUAAUACAUGCAAGUCGAGCGGUAGAGAGGUGCUUGCACCUCUUGAGAGCGGCGGACGGGUGAGUAAUACCUAGGAAUCUGCCUGGUAGUGGGGGAUAACGUUCGGAAACGGACGCUAAUACCGCAUACGUCCUACGGGAGAAAGCAGGGGACCUUCGGGCCUUGCGCUAUCAGAUGAGCCUAGGUCGGAUUAGCUAGUUGGUGAGGUAAUGGCUCACCAAGGCUACGAUCCGUAACUGGUCUGAGAGGAUGAUCAGUCACACUGGAACUGAGACACGGUCCAGACUCCUACGGGAGGCAGCAGUGGGGAAUAUUGGACAAUGGGCGAAAGCCUGAUCCAGCCAUGCCGCGUGUGUGAAGAAGGUCUUCGGAUUGUAAAGCACUUUAAGUUGGGAGGAAGGGCAUUAACCUAAUACGUUAGUGCUUUGACGUUACCGACAGAAUAAGCACCGGCUAACUCUGUGCCAGCAGCCGCGGUAAUACAGAGGGUGCAAGCGUUAAUCGGAAUUACUGGGCGUAAAGCGCGCGUAGGUGGUUUGUUAAGUUGAAUGUGAAAUCCCCGGGCUCAACCUGGGAACUGCAUCCAAAA